rnacentral:lncRNA from 1 species
CCUAGAUCGAUCGAACAAGGUAACUUCGAAAACAAACUCCCGAAUCUUCCCAAACAGCUCUUCCAUAGUUUUUCCAGUCCGCAGCAACGACUCAGGUUGGAUGGGCGAAAUCACGACGGCAGCCACAAAAAAAUGGAUCUCCGACAUCACACAACCCGACACACCUAAGUUUCGCGAGGCUCGGCCCCUCUUCCCCUUCGGAUGUCCCCUUCGGUACACCACCACAUCAUGCCAUCCAGUCUGGAGCGUCGCCGACUCCCGUUGGCCAAGGUAGGGCCAACACAAGAGUAGCGGACGAACCAGUCAUCUGGUCUUACCGGAGAAAGGGAGAGGUAGACUGCCACCACCAAACCCCACCCAGCACACACCAGGCAGCAAAAAGCCAUCAUCCUAAAAGAUGGUCCCACUUCACAAGACGAGGAGGUCCCCGUCCUUCAUUCCAACCCCAGGUGAGAACACACACACCCUUCUUUGCGAUGGAUAAAAGGCAAAAAGAGAGGGCAAAAAAGCCAACGGCAAAUCCAACCAGACCCCCAGAGGCACACACCACAAAAAGUGAAGCCAGAGAGAGCCAGACAAAGAGAAGGAUAGAGAGAGAGGGAGAGUUAGACCCCCCCGGAAGAGAAUCAUAGGUGCUGCGGCCUUUUUCGGGAAUGUGACCAGGAAAGAGAGAACCGACGAGGCCGAUACACACAUUAAAAAAUGAAAAAGUAACCAUCACCGCGAAGGAUUUCCUCAAAAGACAAAUCAGCAAGAAGUAUGUCAAUCCCGGGGGCCCAUCGCCCCUCCAAAUUAAUGGAGGGGUCGGAUAGAAAUUUAUAGAAAUGUUACUUUUGUGAACCCCUAGCCGACGAGAGACUCUCACCGGUUUCGAAGUUCCAUUUUCACAUUCCGACCUGGGAUGUUAUGACUCCUCGGCCCACACUGCGAACGCGUCCCACACCCCCUCCAGUUUAUCAGGAAUUUCACCUGAGCUUGCAAUAGAGAUCGAGCGCGGUGGCGGUCACAGUGGUGGUCGACCAGGCGGAGCUGAACGGCCUCGGCAACACUUCUCCCCACCCUCCCAAAUGAAUGAGAGAAUGGCUUGACAUACCGAGGCCAUCGCCCCCCGCCAAAAAUGGUUACUAGCUCUUGGGACUCGCUGCGACGUUACGCGUAUCGGCACAAGACCAACCCUCUUUUUCAGUCGCCCGCGCACCAAAAAAAAUUUUGGCAGCGGGACUCACAAUCCUUGACAGCCAGCUCACCAUAUAAUACUCGGCGACCCUCCGCGGGACCUCCUCAGAGGGUCGCGUCGCCGGGAAACUAACCCCCACUCCUCACUGAUCCAAGGUAACACGCCAGAAGUAUCCAGGUAACCCCAGUAGUAUCCAGGUAUCCCCCCUGCGAACGUCGGUACUGGGCUCAAAGAGGCAGCGAGCAGUCGGGACCCGUAGGCACCGAGCAACCGUCACCCCCUCACGACUUUUCCCGAGACGCUUCAGAGGAACCCUUCCCCCACAUAGUACUCUCUGUGGGAUUCGGCAGGCCCCCCCGUCCUACUGCACUAAGGAAGUUCCGAGACACACUUUUUUUUGUGGAAGACCACCCACCCUCCCUGUCCUGCCUGCUAUCCCGCCGCGACUCCUGGUCCCGGCCCUCCUCCCCGACUUCCUCCUUGUCCCGCUGCGAGUCCCGGACCUCCUCCCCCACUACCUACUCCCGCCGCGAGUCCAGUCCCGGCCUUCCUCCACCUACUCCCGCCGCGAGUCCCAGUCCCGGCCUUCCACCUCCUCCCCCACUUCCUAGUCCCGUCGCGAGUCCCGGACCUCCUCCCCCUCUUCCUAGUCCCGGCGCGAGUCCCGGACCUCCUCCUUCUCUUCCUUGUCCCGCCGCGAGUCCCAGUCCCGUCGCGAGUCCCGGACUUCCUCCUACUUCCUCCUCCUCUUCCUUGUCCCGCCGCGACUCCCAGUCCCGGCGCGAGUCCCGGACUUCCUCCUCCUCUUCCUUGUCCAGUCCCGGACUUCCUCCUCCUCUUCCUUGUCCCGCCGCGACUCCCUAGUCCCUAGUCCCGGCGCGACUCCCUAGCCGUCGCCUCCCGGGACUCCGCCGCGACUCCCUAGUCCCGGCGCGAGUCCCAGUCCCGUCGCGAGUCCCGGUCCCGUCGCGAGUCCCUUGUCCCGCCGCGACUCCCUAGUCCCGGCGCGAGUCCAGUCCCGGCGCGAGUCCCAGUCCCGUCGCGAGUCCCUUGUCCCGCCGCGACUCCCUAGUCCCGGCGCGAGUCCCAGUCCCGUCGCGAGUCCCGGACUUCCUCCUCCUCUUCCUUGUCCCGCCGCGACUCCCUAGUCCCGGCGCGAGUCCCAGUCCCGUCGCGAGUCCCGGACUUCCUCCUCCUCUUCCUUGUCCCGCCGCGACUCCCUAGUCCCGGCGCGAGUCCAGUCCCGUCGCGAGUCCCGGACUUCCUCCUCCUCUUCCUUGUCCCGCCGCGAGUCCCGACCUCUGGCGCGAGUCCCAGUCCCGU